rnacentral:tRNA from 1 species
GCCCCUGUAGCUCAGUAGGAUAGAGCGACAGAUUCCUAAUCUGUGGGCCGCGUGU